rnacentral:misc_RNA from 1 species
CCUCGAGAUCGUCGUUCGUUCAUUCUGAACGAACAUGGUAGAAGAAUGCAAGACAAAAUUGAAACCAAAUUGCGAUCACUGCGACAGUCAGGUAAAAGAUGCAUACGACUUGCAAGAUCCUCGGAUCAUACAGAAAUUGUCGGUUUGCUUAAACGGACUAUCUUACCUCUCCGGUGACCUAACCUACUUGGAAAACUUGACGAAACUAGACAUAUCAAAGAAUAAUUUGGAAGAAUUGCCAACGUCCGUAUGCUUGCUCAAGAAACUCGAACACUUGGUGGUGAACGACAACAAAUUGGUAACUCUACCAGACCUAGUAGGAGAAUUGUGUUCGUUGAAAAUUUUAUGCUUAUCCAAGAAUCAAAUUAAAGUCCUGCCGGACUCGCUGGGAAACCUUGAUCUUAGAGAAAUGUACUUGGACGAUAACAAUCUUACGGAUCUACCCCUCUCGUUCGUACAGUUAAAUGAUUUAAAAACACUAGACGUAGCUAAUAAUUGUUUAAAGACUGUGCCAAAGUGCAUCACCAAUGGAAUGAAGAGACUGGAAAAGUUGGACUUGUCUUUUAAUCGGAGCAUUAAUCAUCUACAUCCCAAGCCUGCGAGCAACCGAUUAAGGUGGUUAUACUUCAAAGAAGUCGGACCCUGCCUUUGGUUUCCUUCCUGGCUUUUUACCUCGAUGUAUGUCAACUUUGAAGAAAUCUCUUUCAAUCGCACACAGUUUGAAAGAUACGACAUACCGCAUGGGAAUAUAGAAUUGCGUGUUAAGAGGUUAUCAAUGGAAAAUUGCAACUUAUCGGACAUAGAGCUAGGGAAAGUUCUUUCGCUCGCGACAGGUCUUCAAGAACUAAAUAUUUCAAACACACAGAAAGUUUCUAAAUGUAAUAUGCUUUCCAAUCUACCCUUAACAGCUCUGAAAAAUAAAAAAGAGUUGAGAGAAAUUCACGCCAGAGCAACGGGUCUUCCUACGAUUCAGGCUACCAUAAGCGAGUUUGAAAACCUCACGGUAUUAAACUUAGGUCGCAAUAAUAUCUUUUGGCUUCCUGAUGAAAUUUGCCAGUUAACAAACCUGGAAGUACUGAUAGUCGAAGGUAACAGUUUGAUAACGCUUCCGGACAAUAUUGGAGACAUGGCAGCCCUUGUUAAGUUGCAGGCAGCUUGGAAUUCGUUAUCUAGCCUACCUGACUCGGUGCAAAGGCUGAAGAGCCUUCGUUUUUUAGAUUUAUAUAUGAAUGACUUUAUGGAAGUACCUGAAUCAGCAGAGAAGAUAGAUUGUUUGUUUGGAUUCGACAUCGACGGGAAUUACUUUGAUACCACUGGUCUGUGGAUCGGAAAGGUAUCCUAUGAAGACUUGAAGAAUAAAAUACGCAAGAAUUCCGGCAUUGUUGAUACUCCAAGAUUUUCUGGCCCAAGAAUCGAAGCAACAGAAAACUCGGAGUCAAGUUCCCAACCACCUAGCGCCUCCACAGGAAAUAACUCUCCUGGAGAAAUAUCACCGUAAAACACUCUGAUCAUUCUAUGAAGAUGGAUAAUGAAAAGCAUGAAUUUGAGGAGAACUGGGACGUUUCCGAAGAUUCUACCGACGAAUUCGACCCUAAUAGCCAGAGAGAGCCGAAAUGUCGCAGAAAAUAUAAGACGUUCGACGACGGUUGGAG